AAGUCGUAACAAGGUUUCCGUAGGUGAACCUGCGGAAGGAUCAUUAAUGAAAUGACAGGGCGCUCUCUUUAGAGGUCCGACCCAUUCUCAUUUUCCUUACCCUGUGCACACACUAUUUUUUACACCCACUUUUAAACACUAUUAGUAUUAAGAAUGUCAUUAGUCUCUUAAUUGAGCAUAAAAGUUAAUAAAACUUUCGGCAACGGAUCUCUUGGCUCCCGCAUCGAUGAAGAACGCAGCGAAAUGCGAUACGUAAUGUGAAUUGCAGAAUUCAGUGAAUCAUCGAAUCUUUGAACGCACCUUGCACUCUUUGGUAUUCCGAAGAGUAUGUCUGUUUGAGUGUCGUGAAACUCUCAACCCCCCUGUUUUGUAAUGAGACAGGCGUCUGGGCUUGGAUUAUGGCUGUCUGUCGGUUCUAAUCGGACCGGCUCAGCUGAAAUACACGAGCUGCCCACUUUGAAAAUCGACGGUUUGAUUCGGCGUAAUAAUACGUUUCGCUGAGGACGUCACCUUUCGAUAUAGAGGCGCUUCUAGUGCAACUUUCAUUUGACCUUUUUGACCUCAAAUCAGUCAGGACUACCCGCUGAACUUAA
rnacentral:rRNA from 1 species